UACGUAGGAGGCAAGCGUUGUCCGGAAUUACUGGGUGUAAAGCGCGUGUAGGCGGCAGGCCAAGUCUGUGGUGAAAUCGCUCGGCUCAACUGGGCGGGGUCCAUGGAAACUGGUCAGCUGGAGGACGGUAGAGGUGAGUGGAAUUCCCGGUGUAGUGGUGAAAUGCGUAGAGAUCGGGAGGAACACCAGUGGCGAAGGCGGCUCACUGGCUCGAUACUGACGCUGAGGUGCGAAAGCGUGGGGAGCAAACAGG
rnacentral:rRNA from 1 species